AGAGUUAAACAGUACGUGAAAUUGUUGAAAGGGAAACGAUUGAAGCCAGUCGUACCGGCGGAUAAUCAGCCUUUCGGGUGCGAUUCUGUGGAGUGUGAGGAGGUAAACACCUUCAUGCCUGCAUAUUCGUGCACUUUGGGUGUACUUGUCCGUAUGGUAAGUUAACAUCAAUUUUGGUCGUUAUAAAAUGGCUGGAGGAAUGUAGCUUUGAUCUCGUAUUGAAGUGUUAUAGCCUUUGGUAGAUGUAAUGAUUAGGAUUGAGGAUUGCAACGGAUACCUUUCGGGGCUACCCGCCUGAUCUCUGAAAGUUGCUCUGGUGUCGAAAGCUUGCUUACGGUCAUCAAAGUUGACGUUCAAUAGGUUAGAACGGGUUAAAUUCGUUAAGGAUGUUGACGUAAUGGCUUUAAACGACC
rnacentral:rRNA from 1 species